rnacentral:tRNA from 1 species
GCGGGUAUCGUAUAGUGGUUAUUAUUUUUGAUUUCCAAUCAAACGACGGGGGUUCGACUCCCCCUACCCGCU